GUCUGCCGCUGGACAAUCUUCCCCACCCCCACCGGCUUACUCAUAUGCUGUUAAGCUUCUCUCUCUCUCUCUCUCUCUCUCUCUCUCUCUCUCUCUCUCUCUCCCUCUCUCUCUCUGUUAUCCACAGAUUUUUGUUCUGACAAGCUUUUGAUUUUCUCAGUCCACCUGCAUGCAACAGGACGCGUUUUCCUAUCGUGCCCCGAACUGCUGUCCUGUAGCCUUGGCCCUUGCACGCGGCUGUCGGACGUCUGUGUGUCUCCCAGCUCUUGCUUAUUUUCACAUGCUGACCUGCCCACUUGACGCCAUCAGCAGGUUCUCUAAGAGCCUUUGAUCAGAGCAGCAAACGGGGUUUCUUUCAUCAACCCAGAGGCUCCCUGGUGCUGGGGUCCACCUCUCUGUCAAACUGGGGAUACGCAAGGUUGUGAAUGACAACUUCCUCAUUAAACAAAGGAGUCUGCCUCCCUCCAUCUCUUCUGGGACCGGAUGGACUCGUAGACCUGUGUGUCAUAGGGAGAUAUUUGUAAGUACAAAUGAUGGAGGGCCUGGGGUUGGGGUGGGACAAUCAGGGGAAGGCAGAGCAGCAUGAGGUGAUUGGCUUGCCCUAGCUGUCAGUCUGAACCUCGGAAGUGCUUUCUCUAACCUGUGUUGAAGAGCUUGGAUAUUGUCUUUGUUUUUUCCUUCUGUAGCAGGACAGUACUGUCUGUAUUUCGUGGGACCUGCCUACAUAGGUGAAUGACCUUUCACCUCACAGAGGGAACAAUUGCCCUCUGAACAGUAGUAGCAAGGGUCCAGAGAAUGGUUGGACUGGAGCUGCUGGGCUCAAGAGGAGAUCGUACAUGUGAGUCCAUUUCAGAGGAUUAGCAAUGCCAAGUCCAGCACUUACUGGAAGCUCUAAGUGGAAACUCAGGUAUCAGGCAUGGGACCAGGCCAAUAAUCCCCAACUGGAAAAAGUCCUUCAAUACACAACAAUAGUAAAUAAGCUAAGAUAGUUCCAUUACAAUAACACAUAACCAUUGAUAAUUGUCUCAUUGUUUCCCUUCUCCAACCCUAUUCCCCCUCCCUCCUUCUCCCCUCCUCUUCUCCCCCUCCCUCCUUCCCUCUUUCCUCCCUUUCUUCCUCAGGGUUGUGUACUGUAGGUUGGUUUGGAAUGUACUCUGUAGAUCAUGUUGACCUUGAACUCACAGACUUCCCUGCAAUCUUGCUGAGUGCGAGGAUUUCAGGCAUGUGCCAUGCUACUGGGGUACUAUUGUUAAUACUAGUUGUUGUAGAACACGUUUAUGAGAGAUCUGUGAGACUGCGUACAGUAGGAUUCUGUUUUAAUUGAAAGCCUAUCACGUGUACAGAUGCCCCCAUACCUGCGAUGGGCUAUAUUCUGAUCCAUCCAUUUUAAGCAGGAAAUGUGUUCAUUACACUAGCCUGCUGGACCUCCUAGCUCUGAAACACAGGGCGGCAGAGUGUGGGUUGUUUUUCCUUGUGAAUACACAAUUGUUUGCAAGCUGUGGUUCAGAACUGCGUGAAGACUGUACUAUAUCUUGCCGGCCCGGAGGAAGCUCAAAAUCAAACAUUUCAGAUACAGUUUCUGUCAAGACCAUCUUGCUUUGUGUACCAUUGUAAAGUAGAAAAAUUCUCAGUUGAACUACAGGAAGCUGAAAACGGCAUCUAUACACCCUAUAAAUUCUUUUUUUUUUUUUUUCUGUGAGUGCUUUCAAAUGAUACACAGUCUCCCCCCCCCCCCCCCCCCGGAUUUUAUGUUUUUAUCAUUAAGGGAGUAUGUUUUGUUUCCAAUGAAUUUCCUUUCUUCUUUUCUUUCUUUCUUCUCCUUUUUAAAAGUGAUACAGGGGCUGGGGACAUAGCUCAGUUGGUAGAGUGCUUGCCUUGCCUGCAAGAAACCCUGGAUUUAAUCCCCAGCACCGCAUAAACCAGAGUCUU
rnacentral:lncRNA from 1 species